CCAAGAGCGGAUUUCUUGUCGAAGGUUAUAUGGGGUGCAGUUGGCAUGUGGAUGCAUCCGUAGGCGUAGAGGGCCUUAAAAGGACUACUUGCUGUGUUGUUACCUUGACAUUGGCAUUUUUGUUCGGGUGCAAUUGGCAUACGGAUGCUUCCGUAGCUGUAGAGGUUUGUACAAGUUUUAUAAGUAUGAGAAGAAGGCCGCGGAGCGAUUGGAGAAGCUGAUGAUUUGACCGACAAGAGGUGGUGCAUGAAGAGUGCUUCAUUAGAGUUUUCUGGUAUUUUCUACUUCUUUUAGUUGUAGUGUAUUAGUUGUAGUGUAUUGUUGUAAUUAUCUGUCAUGGUUAAUAAAGGUAAGAACUAUUUCAAGAGCGAGACGG